CGUGAGGGAAAGGUGAAAAGAACCCCUAAAGGGGAGUGAAAUAGAACUGAAACCGUAUGCUUACAAGCCGUUGGAGCAAUUUAUUGUGACAGCGUGCCUAUUGAAGAAUGAGCCGGCGAGUUAAUUUAUGUAGCAAGGUUAAGAUAUUAAGUAUUGGAGCCGAAGCGAAAGCGAGUCUGAAUAGGGCGUUUAGUUGCAUGGAUUAGACCCGAAACCGUGUGAGCUACCCAUGACCAGGGUGAAGCGAAAUUAACGUUUCGUGAAGGCCCGAACCCUUGUACGCUGCAAAGUGCUGGGAUGAGUUGUGGGUAGAGGAGAAAUUCCAAACGAACACGGAGAUAGCUGGUUCUCCCCGAAAUGUAUUUAGGUACAGCCUUAGGUAUUAACUGAUGGAGGUAGAGCACUGGAUGAGCUAGCGGGCGCAAGUUUAGCAAACUCAACCAAACUAAGAAUGCCAUCAGCCGAAUCCUAGGAGUGAGACAGUGACGGAUAAGCGCCAUUGUCGAAAGGGAAACAGCCCAGAUCGCAAGCUAAGGUCCCAAAGUUAUAGUUAAGUGGUAAAGGAGGUUGGAUCGCCCAGACAGCUAGUAGGUUGGCUUAGAAGCAGCCAUCCUUUAAAGAGUGCGUAAUAGCUCACUAGUCGAGGGGUUCUGCGCCGAAAAUUAUCGGGGCUAAACUAUACACCGAAGCUGCGGGAUUCUUUAUGAAUCGGUAGGGGAGCGUUCUCAAUGCACUGAAUCUGAAUUGUGAAAUUUGGUGGAGCGUUGAGAAGUGAGAAUGUCGGCAUGAGUAGCGACAAUCUUUGUGAGAAUCAAAGACACCGGAAGUCCGAGGUUUCCUACGCAACGUUGAUCGGCGUAGGGUUAGUCGGUCCUAAGGAGAAGCCGAAAGGUGAAUUCGAUGGACAGCUGGUCAAAAUUCCAGCACCGUAAUUAUCCUGUUAUGCAACGAAGGGACGCGAUAAGGACUGUUAAGCAUGCCUAUGGACAUGGUGUGUGGGGCCUUGUAGGGAAGUGAUUGUGGUUAAAAGAACAGUUACGUUAUUAACUGAGAAGGUUUCAGACCUUAAGGCUUCGGCCUUAGGGAAUUUAACACGAACUAUGUCGCCAAGAAAAGCUUCGUUGAUAGGGAUAUUAUGACCGUACCGAAAACCGACACAGGUGGACAGGGGUAAAAGCCCCAAGGUGAACGAGAAAACCAUCCUCAAGGAACUCGGCAAAUUAACCCCGUAACUUCGGAAUAAGGGGAGCCUAAAAUAUAUAGACUUCGCGUUGAAAGUAUUUUAGGCCGCAGAGAAUUGGUCUGAGCGACUGUUUAUCAAAAACACAGGUCCGUGCUAAAGCGAAAGCUGAUGUAUACGGGCUGACGCCUGCCCAGUGCCGGUAGGUUAAAGUGAAGAGUGAGAGCUUUGAUCUGAAGCCCCGGUGAACGGCGGCCGUAACUAUAACGGUCCUAAGGUAGCGAAAUCCCUUGUCGGGUAAGUUCCGACCUGCACGAAAGGCGUAACGACUUGGACACUGUCUCGAGGGUGGACUCGGUGAAAUUGCAUGACCCGUAAAGAUGCGGGUUACGCGCAGCAGGACAAAAAGACCCCGUGGAGCUUUACUGUAGCUUGGCAUUGAAUUGUGAUUAAUGAUGUGUAGGAUAGGCGGGAGACUAUGAAUUUUGAGCGUCAGCUCAAUUGGAGUCGCCCUUGAAAUACCGCCCUUCUUUGGUCUUGAUUCUAACUUUUUUAGGACAGUGUCUGGUAGGCAGUUUGACUGGGGCGGUCGCCUCCUAAAAUGUAACGGAGGCGCCCAAAGGUAACCUCAGGCUGGAUGGAAAUCAGCUUUUGAGUGCAUUGGCAUAAGGUUGCUUGACUGCGAGACCAACAAGUCGAGCAGGGACGAAAGUCGGGCAAAGUGAUCCCACGGUACCGAGUGGAAGGGCCGUGGCUUAACGGAUAAAAGCUACCCCGGGGAU
rnacentral:rRNA from 1 species